CGACACUGGAACAGAAAGGAAAGGAAGUCAUCAUCAUCCAUGAACAAGGAGAUGCCAGCAGCCUGACCAGGAAUGGGGGCCAGAUUCUGCUCAAGGCGAUAAAAAAUUAAAUUUUUAGUUAAUUACACCAAAUUGAAACUACCCAAAAUUCUGCGGAUAAACCUUUCAAUCUCAUCAUACAAUUUCCUCAAAAUCCCAGGCCCGAUUGAUGUUACAGGAUAUGACAUCAGUACUCUCUAAAAAUGAAGAAAUUGAUGUAAUCAAGAAUGUCUGUCACAGAUAAAAACUGAGACCACUCUGGACCAGGGCUAACUGGAAUUCACAGAACCAACACAGGAAUCAUCCUGCAAAAGUUAUGGGAGAGAGGAUGUGAUGUCUGAGCUGUGGCAGCUGCCUGGAGUUCAAGAAGAAGCGAGCCUGAGGACAAAAGCCAGUGUGCAGAGGAUGACAGAAUGGAACAGUGGAAAGCACCUGGCUGCUUGUGCUGUGCUGCUGAAUAAACCAGUCCCAGAUCCUGAGACUUCUGGAUUUCUUGUUAGGCAAAGACCAAAGACCAAAGGAAAAAGAUGCCAUGAUUUAGAAGUCUGUAUCUGCUGUCACUUCUCAGUAAGAUGUCUUUGAUCCUGCUGUCCUUUACAAAAUGAGACCAAAACCCAAACCAUGGCCAAAACUUCUGAAGAGCAUCUUUCUAGUAUUAUUGUCAACUGUUCAUUAUGUAAAGUAAAACCUCAGGAAGACAUUAGCUUCUCCCUCAAUCGGAUCACACAGGUCAAAGCUGGAGAGGACCUUUGUCAUCACCUCCACAAACAAAUUCCAAGGAAGAAACUGAGUCAUGGAGAUGAUAAAGACCACCAUUCGAGUCAACAGGAGCAGGGCCAGGGACAGACCCAGAUCAGAAGUUUUACAGACAAUAUGGCCUUGCUCAACGUACUGGCUUAUUACUGUGAUUCUAUUACAUAUGAAUUUAAAGCAAGAGGAAAUGUAAGAAUGAGCUGUGAACAUCCACGAUCCACAGAUGGAUGACGACACUACAGUCUCCUGGGAGACCAGCCAGGCAGCAGGGAAGCAAAUGGAGCACAAGAAUGUAAACUAGUACAGCCAGAAUCUGCAGAGCCACCAAAAAAUACUUACACUUGUACAGCAGAGAGUCUCCAUGCAGCAAAAAGAAAGGAAAAAAAAUAUGAAUGGAAGAGAGAUAAAGCAACAGCAUUACAAGAAAAGGGGAGGGGAGACACCAUACGCAAACAGAAAAGCUACAUAAAAAGCCUUCAUAGCAAAGGAAAGAGGCAAGAAUGAGGCCAAACUAUUAUUAGCUUACAGCAUCCAACUUAGUUUUUUAUAAGCAGAAGCACAGUUACAGCUUGAAAACUGCAGAAACUCUUAAGCGAUAUUACCUCUUUUGCUAAGGUCAUGCAAAGUGUCCUCUACCAACUCUGUCAGGUAUUAACACCAUUUGGGGAAUGGAGACAAAAUUAGCUCCAAAGGCACUAACUGGUGGACAGAACACUGGAUGGAUAUUAGCAAACUCCAUGCAGCUUUUGGUUCUUGGGCCACAGGGCUAGUCCCAGCAACAAAGUGGGGACAGUGUAUCUAUGCACACAUCUAAGCAUCCCUUCGGGGU